CCAGUCGCUUGUCCUGCCAGUACUGCUGGAAGUACAUGGUCAGCGUGUAGUCCUGCCGGGUGGGGGGGGGGAGACGGACGGAUGGAUUGAUAGAUCCUGAUAGAUGGGUGGAUCAAUAAUUAAUAAAGGCCCUCAUUGACUCGCUGGCUACGUUCCACCACUGAUCGGGCGCAACACAAAAGCUUUUGCAGCCUUUUAAAGGAGCUGACAUUCUGCUGACUAAUAUUCUCUUAAAUAAAUAAGCCGGUCACAGGAAAUAAACAAGCCGUGCCGCAUCAGUGAUUCAAACUCGCACGCGUGUUCCGUGUAGCGGUGCGCUCGGCCUACGGUGCCUGUCCCGUAACGGUAGUUGGCAAGGCUGACUACAACCCAUCUGAACAAAUGAAUAUAACUCGGCCGUGUAAAAGUGCUGACCUGACGCGGAUGAAAUGAUGGAAAUGCAGUUUUUUUUUUUUUUUUUGCAAGAUUGCUGCAUAGUGUAGCAACUGCAUCAUUUUCUUAGCUAGGAGUGAAUCACACUAACAUUGUCAACUCAUUCCUUGUGCCGUUGAAGACUCUGGUGUGCUUUUGUAUUAUGUGUGUACAGUACAUUAACUGGGCUGGCUGUUUACAGUAAGUGCAUAUGCAAAUGGGCAUAAUAAUACUUUCCGCCCUCCCAAAUGUAUUUCCUCGCUGCCAGUAAAUGGGAGACUAUCAUAUAACAUCGCUUUGAGGGAAUGAUAAGAUCUCCCUCAGUUCUCCAAAGCGGGUUUGAUUCAAAUUUUCUCGCUCCCUGUCGAAAGCAUAACUGACAUACAUAACAAAGCAAAACGGCACACUGAAACACCAAAAUGUUUCUAGCUUAAUGCUAACGUGUAAUAGCAGUUGAAGAGAAGCUGCUGCUGAGAAAGUAGUGAGAUGAAAAGCAGGUGUUGUGAGACGCGAUGUCCGCCCACAUGCAGCAACACCGGCAGAGUGGCUCGGCUGAAUCAGCUUUAGCACAACAUGGCGGGUUCAGCUCAGCGUCUGGAGCGCUAACCGUCAUUCCGAACCUGAAACUCACUUUAGUCUCAUCGCAAUUCAAAUUUUAAAAGUAGCAAUUUAGUUAAGAUGCGCGCUAAUUUGUUGUCAGAUCAUUUGGAUCUCGGGAGAAACCAAGUCUCCGGUUAAUGAGGCCCGGUGGGAGAACGGCGUGCCAUCCCGUGUCAGACGUGCAAAUUGUCCCACUAACAGCUGCCUAUCAACUGGGAAUAGCGGAACAGCGUGCACAAGGUUCAUCAGACACUUCCCCGGUGGAAUGUGCACCAAGUUGUUCGACAAACCGCAUGUUGAAUUCAUUCAUGCAGCAUUAAAUUAGUGUCUGUGAAUGUUAGACUGAUGUUAGCAUGCAUAUUUGUGUGUACGCAAACAUCCAGACAAAUUUGUCUUCGUAGAUAAAUGCACAAGCAGACGUUUACAUUAUGAACGUAACGACAUGCAAACGGACACAUCGUUAAGUUAUGGGUGUCUGACCGAGACGUAUAAAUACACAGAUGAAUGUCAACAUUAUUGCAAUCAAUGUAUUAUUUAUUGUCGGUUUGCUAAAUCCAGCAUGUCUUUUACGAUGAAUACAUAAUGAGAGUGGUUGGCAUGAUGCUUUUAUGGGAAGAUUUAUCCGCACACGCUUCUCAAAAUGCAUAUCACGAUUGCAAGUAAUGUAUGCAUAUGCAUUCAUAGAUGUCAAAUAAAAUAGUUUGUGUGGAACUUACCAUAUUCACCUCGGAGACCAUGUCUAUGCUAGCCACAUCUAUGCUCAUGCCAACAGCAACAGGGGCACCUUCAAAAAUAACACAACCAAGAGUGUCUGUUAUUACCUAAAUGUCAAUAAAUAGAAUUAAAAUCUAUAAAGUAUUCUCACCUCCAAAGUCUGGCCUGAGACGAAUGUCGUAUCCCUUUAAAAGUUUGUCCACUGUGUCUUUGACGAAAGACAUGUUGCCGGGCUCUUUGACGCUAAAAGAGAAAAUAGCGGCCAUUUUUAAAUGUCAAUGUAUGCACAUUUGAAUAGGCAGACGAAAAAGAAGCAGUAGAAGAAGUCAUCCUUGGCGCCAAAUCCAGCUCACCUGGCGCAUGCGCACAUAGCGGCCACGACCAGCGGCCAGCAAUGACACCAGCACGCCGCCCGGAGGGCCCUCAUUCUCCCAGCGUAGACGAGCUAUGUGGCCGGCCGGGUGAGGGGGGGCGUUCUUUCUCCACCCUCCCCAUCCACCAGAACGGCAAAUUUGGAGCGCUGCGCCGGGGAGAGCCUGCCGAAGAGCAACGCUGGAGGACGAGAGAUAGACGUCGUCUUCUUCUUGAAGGAAUGGGCGAUGGAAUGCAGCGCAGCUUUGCAAUGAGACGCACGUGGCUCUGCUUCUUGCUCGCCAGCCUCACCUGCCGCCCGAGCCUCCAGCAGGAGGCGACAGGGACCCCCUCCGAGACGGAAUUAAUUAACAACAUCACAGUGUUCACCCGCAUUUUGGACGGACUGCUGGAUGGCUAUGACAACAGGCUGCGCCCCGGACUGGGAGAAAAUGUGACCGAGAUCCAAACCAACAUUUUUGUCACCAGCUUCGGUCCAGUCUCGGACACGGAAAUGGAGUACACCAUCGACGUGUUCUUCCGCCAGAGUUGGAAGGACGAGCGUCUGUGCUUCAAAGGGCCCAUGAAGAUGCUGCCGCUCAACAACCUUCUGGCCAGCAACAUCUGGACGCCCGACACCUUCUUCCUCAACGGCAAGAAGUCCAUCGCGCACAACAUGACCACACCCAACAAGCUGCUGAGGCUGCAGGAUGACGGCACGCUGCUCUACACCAUGAGAUUGACUAUAUCUGCAGAGUGCCCCAUGCAACUGGAGGACUUCCCCAUGGACGCGCAUGCCUGCCCCCUCAAGUUUGGAAGCUGCAGCACAGGUGGCUAUGGAGAACGGGGCUUGUCGGACGAGGACGGCGACACGCAGAUUAACUAUGCGUACCCGGUCUCGGAGGUGGUCUACACUUGGGAAAUGGGGGCGACCAAGUCGGUGGUGGUGGGCGAGGAUAGCAACAGGCUCAACCAGUACCACCUGACUGGUCAGACGGCCGGCACGGAGGACAUCCACACCAGCAGAGGCCAGUACACGGUGAUGAUGGCUCACUUCUUCCUGAAGAGGAAGAUCGGCUACUUCGUCAUCCAGACGUACAUGCCGUGCUUCAUGACCGUCAUCCUGUCGCAAGUCUCCUUCUGGCUCAACCGCGAGUCCGUGCCCGCACGCACCGUCUUUGGUGUGACCACAGUGUUGACCAUGACCACGCUCAGCAUCAGUGCCCGCAACUCGCUGCCCAAGGUGGCGUAUGCCACCGCCAUGGAUUGGUUCAUCGCCGUUUGCUACGCCUUCGUCUUCUCCGCCCUCAUCGAGUUCGCCACCGUCAACUAUUUCACCAAGCGUAGCUGGGCCUGGGACGGCAAGAAGGCCAUGGAGGCCCAACAGCCCAAACGUAAAGACCCCUUGGUGCUAUCCAAGAAACCCAACAACGCCUGCACGGCCGGCGUCAACUACACCACCAACCUGACCAAGGACGCGUCCGUGUCCACCAUCUCCAACAGCACGUCGGUCCAGCUCAAGGGGCCCCCCGAGUCCAAAGGCGCCGAUCCCAAGAAGACCUACAACAGCGUCAGCAAGAUUGACAAGAUGUCCCGUAUCGUGUUCCCCGUCCUGUUCGGCACCUUCAACCUGGUCUACUGGGCCACCUAUCUCAACCGGGAGCCGCACGCCACGCCGCCCAGCACUUAACCUUCCUAAACUCAUCUGUCGCUUUUUCAUUUGAGGUAAUUUCAUUGCAUGUCGCUUCUCCCGCAUCUCCUUCACGGCCAUGUUUUUCACCUUUUAGCAUUUGGAUUCGAUUGUAGUUCUCUCUUUGAAAGGACAAGAGGCAUGGUGCCAAAGUACAGCAAGGUCAGUUGUGAGCUGCAAAAAUACAUUGUCAAGGACAGUUUGGCUAUUUCCAGCCAGCCUUCAAAGAUGUUCUACAAAUAGGAGGCACACGUACUAAACAGGGGAAAAAAAAAAUAUCGAUGAGGACUAGAACACAUUUCUUGCCCAACUACGACUUUGUUCAGGUAAUUGAACUUUUGUUUUUCCCCCUCCAAGAAUGUCAACUUUUUUCUUGUCUUACUUUUUGUCUGCAUAAAAAAAACUAGAUGACAACUGAUGAGUAACUUUUAUGCUGUUUAAAUUGUAUUGUACUUUUUCCGCUUACUUUAAAUUGAGAUUUUGUGUUGAAUUGUCAUCAAUUUCUGCCUUCACUCUCUUUUUGCUGUGGCUUAAAUGCUCAUUGGUACUUUUCCCGCAACCGUGUCGUUGUGUUUUUUGGGAACGCCAUUGCGUAAAAUGUAUUCUUUCUGUAUAUUGCCAUUAAUUUAGCAACAGCAACACCACACUAGUAGCUUUUAGUUUGGAUACAACACGGUGACGCCUUGUAAUCUGAUUGUUUUUAUGAGUUUUGAAAAGAGCAUUUGUUUCUGUCUUAUAAAAGUUCUGAAAUAUGAAUGCAAUGUAAAUGCC